AGUUUGAUCAUGGCUCAGAUUGAACGCUGGCGGCAGGCCUAACACAUUGCAAGUCGAGCGGAAACGAUGGAAGCUUGCUUCCAGGCGUCGAGCGGCGGACGGGUGAGUAAUGCAUAGGAAUCUGCCCGGUAGUGGGGGAUAACCUGGGGAAACCCAGGCUAAUACCGCAUACGUCCUACGGGAGAAAGCAGGGGAUCUUCGGACCUUGCGCUAUCGGAUGAGCCUAUGUCGGAUUAGCUGGUUGGUGAGGUAAUGGCUCACCAAGGCGACGAUCCGUAGCUGGUCUGAGAGGAUGAUCAGCCACAUCGGGACUGAGGCACGGCCCGAACUCCUACGGGAGGCAGCAGUGGGGAAUAUUGGACAAUGGGCGAAAGCCUGAUCCAGCCAUGCCGCGUGUGUGAAGAAGGCUUUCGGGUUGUAAAGCACUUUCAGUGGGGAAGAAAUCCUCGGGGCCAAUACCCUCGAGGGAGGACAUCACCCACAGAAGAAGCACCGGCUAACUCCGUGCCAGCAGCCGCGGUAAUACGGA
rnacentral:rRNA from 1 species